rnacentral:sRNA from 1 species
ACAGAAGCUUGCUUCGUGGCGGGGCUACCCUACUUCGGUAGGGUUUAGAGCCGUCGACCCUCUCGGAGAAGGUCGGUCCUGAACUCCACCCUUGAAUAAACUACCUUUGUUGCUUUGGCGGGCCGCCUCGCGCCAGCGGCUUCGGCUGUUGAGUGCCCGCCAGAGGACCACAACUCUUGUUUUUAGUGAUGUCUGAGUACUAUAUAAUAGUUAAAACUUUCAACAACGGAUCUCUUGGUUCUGGCAUCGAUGAAGAACGCAGCGAAAUGCGAUAAGUAAUGUGAAUUGCAGAAUUCAGUGAAUCAUCGAAUCUUUGAACGCACAUUGCGCCCUCUGGUAUUCCGGGGGGCAUGCCUGUUCGAGCGUCAUUAUAACCACUCAAGCUCUCGCUUGGUAUUGGGGUUCGCGGUUUCGCGGCUCCUAAAAUCAGUGGCGGUGCCUGUCGGCUCUACGCGUAGUAAUACUCCUCGCGUCUGGGUCCGGUAGGUCUACUUGCCAGCAACCCCCAAUUUUUACAGGUUGACCUCGGAUCAGGUAGGGAUACCCGCUGAACUUAAGCAUAUCAAUAAGCGGAGGAAAAGAAACCAACAGGGAUUACCUCAGUAACGGCGAGUGAAGCGGUAACAGCUCAAAUUUGAAAGCUAGCUCUUUUAGGGUUCGCAUUGUAAUUUGUAGAAGAUGCUUCGGGUGUGGCCCCGGUCUAAGUUCCUUGGAACAGGACGUCAUAGAGGGUGAGAAUCCCGUAUGUGACUGGGUGCUUUCGCUCAUGUGAAGCUCUUUCGACGAGUCGAGUUGUUUGGGAAUGC